rnacentral:rRNA from 1 species
AUACGUAGGGGGCGAGCGUUGUCCGGAAUUACUGGGUGUAAAGGGAGCGUAGGCGGGAGAGCAAGUCAGAUGUGAAAUACAUGGGCUCAACCCAUGGGCUGCAUUUGAAACUGCAUUUCUUGAGUGAAGUAGAGGUAACCGGAAUUCCUGGUGUAGCGUUGAAAUGCGUAGAUAUCAGGAGGAACACCGGUGGCGAAGGCGGCUUACUGGGCUUUUACUGACGCUGAGGCUCGAAAGCGUGGGGAGCAAACAGGAGUAGAUACCCUGGUAGUCCACGCUGUAAACGAUGAUUACUAGGUGUGGGGGGACUGACCCCUUCCGUGCCGCAGUUAACACAAUAAGUAGUCCGCCUGGGGAGUACGGCCGCAAGGUGGAAACUCAAAGGAAUUGACGGGG